GAUGAACGCUAGCGGGAGGCUUAACACAUGCAAGUCGAGGGGUAUAGUAGCAAUACUAGAGACCGGCGCACGGGUGAGUAACGCGUAUGCAACCUGCCCUUUACUGGGGGAUAGCCCGUAGAAAUGCGGAUUAAUACCCCAUAGUACUAUAUGAUCGCAUGGUUUUAUAGUUAAAGUUUCGGCGGUAAAGGAUGGGCAUGCGUGACAUUAGCUAGUUGGUAGGGUAACGGCCUACCAAGGCUGCGAUGUCUAGGGGUUCUGAGAGGAAGAUCCCCCACACUGGUACUGAGACACGGACCAGACUCCUACGGGAGGCAGCAGUGAGGAAUAUUGGUCAAUGGGCGAGAGCCUGAACCAGCCAUCCCGCGUGCAGGAAGAAUGCCCUAUGGGUUGUAAACUGCUUUUUCGCAUGAAGAACACUUUGGACGUGUCCGAAGCUGACGGUAAUGCGUGAAUAAGCACCGGCUAACUCCGUGCCAGCAGCCGCGGUAAUACGGAGGGUGCAAGCGUUAUCCGGAUUUAUUGGGUUUAAAGGGUGCGUAGGCGGCAUUUUAAGUCAGUGGUGAAAUCCUGCAGCUCAACUGUAGAACAGCCAUUGAAACUGAAGUACUUGAGUAAUCUUGAGGUAGGCGGAAUGUGUAGUGUAGCGGUGAAAUGCUUAGAUAUUACACAGAACACCGAUUGCGAAGGCAGCUUACUAGGGAUUUACUGACGCUGAUGCACGAAAGCGUGGGGAUCAAACAGGAUUAGAUACCCUGGUAGUCCACGCCGUAAACGAUGAUAACUCGCUGUUGGCGAUACACAGUCAGCGGCUUAGCG
rnacentral:rRNA from 1 species